GUUGUGAUUCUGUUUGCAAUGGAAUUUGUUUAAAAUGUUAUUGCUUGCCUUUCUUUACUGGUGGGGAAUGAUGGAUUUAAUUGUUUCUGGUCCCCCUCUCUUCUUUUUUUUUAAGUCACCUUCCUUCACCAUUCGCCCUUUAACCAUGUCAUUUGCUAUAAAGUAAAAAGUGACAGCUUUCACAUUGAUUUAGGAACAGUGAUUU
rnacentral:lncRNA from 1 species